rnacentral:rRNA from 1 species
GUGACCGUAAACGAUGCCAACCAGCGAUUCGGCGAUGUUCUUUUUGUGACUCGCUGAGCAGCUUCCGGGAAACCAAAGUGUUUCGGUUCCGGGGGAAGUAUGGUUGCAAAGCUGAAACUUAAAGGAAUUGACGGAAGGGCACCACCAGGAGUGGAGCAUGCGGCUUAAUUUGACUCAACACGGGAAAACUCACCCGUCCCGAACACUGCGAGGAUUGACAGAUCAAGAGCUCUUUCUUGAUUCAGUGGGUAGUGGUGCAUGGCCGUUCUUAGUUGGUGGAGCGAUUUGUCUGGCUAAUUCCGAUAACGAACGAGACUCUGGCCUACUAACUAGCGGCGGUAUUCACGUCUCCCGCGCGACGCCGCGCUGCGCUGCGGCUGAGCACAGUCGUCGCCGUUUGCGCGAGCGCUCCGCGGAGCACCUGCAGUGCCGGCAGCCGCUUCUUAGAGGGACCAGCGACACUUUCGCAAGCCGCACGAGAAAGAGCAAUAACAGGUCUGUGAUGCCCUUAGAUGUACGGGGCUGCACGCGUGCUACACUGACGGCGUCAGCGUGCGUUCAAGCCCGGCCUGGCAAGGCCAGGAAAUCGGUUGAAACGUUCUCGUGACUGGGACAGGGAAUUGCAAUUAUUUCCCUCGAACGAGGAAUUCCCAGUAAGCGCGAGUCAUCAGCUUGCGUUG